rnacentral:rRNA from 1 species
CCUACGGGAGGCAGCAGUGAGGAAUAUUGGUCAAUGGGCGCGAGCCUGAACCAGCCAAGCCGCGUGAAGGAAGAAGGCCCUACGAGUUGUAAACUUCUUUUGUAGGGGAAUAAAGGCAGGCACGAGUCCCUGUUUGAAUGUACCUUAUGAAUAAGGAUCGGCUAACUCCGUGCCAGCAGCCGCGGUAAUACGGAGGAUGCGAGCGUUAUCCGGAUUUAUUGGGUUUAAGGGGUGCGUAGGCGGGCUGUUAAGUCAGGGGUGAAAGGCCGAGGCUCAACCGCCGGAUUGCCUUUGAUACUGGCAGGCUAGAGUGUAGUUGAGGUAGGCGGAAUGCGUGGUGUAGCGGUGAAAUGCUUAGAUAUCACGCAGAACCCCGAUUGCGAAGGCAGCUUACCAAGCUACUACUGACGUUGAGGCACGAAAGCGUGGGUAGCAAACAGGAUUAGAUACCCGAGUAGUC